UCCAUGCACAACCCUACCAGACACCAAACCUUUGCAAGAACAUAAUAUAUUAAAAAGGCAGAAAAGUAAAAUAUUUUAAGGAUAUAUACUUUGAGCGAAUAAGAGCUAAAUUAGAAAUGAAACAAAACUGAAGGAACACACACACAAACCCCUGCUUGCAAAACUUCAAAUUAAAGUGUCUAGCAUCAGUUUUUGCCAAUAUUUCUGGUUACAGAGGCUGUUGAAUUUAGAGAUUUUGAGAAAGGAAAACCAGGACAGAAAAUGAAACAUGAUUUGGGAUUGUAAAAUCACCAGGUUUUGCUUCUGCUAAAAGAAAUUAGCGGGCAAAAUUAAUUAGGCAUCUAGACAAAUAGAAAGUGGGGCAGACUUGGGUCCAGAUCAAGGGCAUUGCUGGUACCGCAUCCCUCCUUUCCCCCAAAAUAUAAGAGCUCCAGUCCCAUCAAAAUACUAACAAAAUUCAGAACACAAGACUAUGCACAUAAAACAAGAACACAGAUCAAAGUUGGUCCACAGAUUCAUGACUAGCUACUCCUGCGUAUUAUAGUCCUGCAAAGAGCUUGGAGCUCGAUGAGUGAUCCUUUGCAGGUAACAUGAAUGGCACUGCUCAGGAUCACACAAGGCUGCAAACACUGGUGGAUCAGGAGAGCUGGAUGGGAUGACAUUGUCACUGGGUGUGGAGUCAUCAGCACCUGAGCCUGAAGCCUGAUGUGUGCUCUGCACUGGUUUGAAAAUGGAUGGUGAUAAAUUCAAAUUCAGACUCCAUUAAACCUGAGUAGAGAAACCCAGCAGGUGGCUACGCUAAUGGAAAAUCCUGGCUUUGGAAUAAUGGGAAUUACAACCGACAGCUAUUCUACACCACAAAAAAGAUGAUGUAUUCCUAUUGACAGUGCUGCUUUUGAGUCCAGAAGGCGGAUCUGAUAGUUCAAGGCUGGCACGAGGGAGGCUAAAAGGCCCAUGGGUAUUUUCCUUGGCCACACCACUGUAAUUUUUGUCAUCGGAACCUUCCAUUAUAAUUCAUUGUACACGUCUCAUGGAAGUUGGAGAGAGGGAGCAACAACUCUCUUCAUUUGGCCUUCAGGCAUACAUUUGUUCUUUUUUCUUGGUUUAAAGGACAAAUAAAGGUUGACACACAACAGCA